GACGAACGCUGGCGGCGUGCCUAAUACAUGCAAGUCGAACGCUUCUUUUUCCACCGGAGCUUGCUCCACCGGAAAAAGAGGAGUGGCGAACGGGUGAGUAACACGUGGGUAACCUGCCCAUCAGAAGGGGAUAACACUUGGAAACAGGUGCUAAUACCGUAUAACAAUCGAAACCGCAUGGUUUUGAUUUGAAAGGCGCUUUCGGGUGUCGCUGAUGGAUGGACCCGCGGUGCAUUAGCUAGUUGGUGAGGUAACGGCUCACCAAGGCGACGAUGCAUAGCCGACCUGAGAGGGUGAUCGGCCACAUUGGGACUGAGACACGGCCCAAACUCCUACGGGAGGCAGCAGUAGGGAAUCUUCGGCAAUGGACGAAAGUCUGACCGAGCAACGCCGCGUGAGUGAAGAAGGUUUUCGGAUCGUAAAACUCUGUUGUUAGAGAAGAACAAGGAUGAGAGUAACUGUUCAUCCCUUGACGGUAUCUAACCAGAAAGCCACGGCUAACUACGUGCCAGCAGCCGCGGUAAUACGUAGGUGGCAAGCGUUGUCCGGAUUUAUUGGGCGUAAAGCGAGCGCAGGCGGUUUCUUAAGUCUGAUGUGAAAGCCCCCGGCUCAACCGGGGAGGGUCAUUGGAAACUGGGAGACUUGAGUGCAGAAGAGGAGAGUGGAAUUCCAUGUGUAGCGGUGAAAUGCGUAGAUAUAUGGAGGAACACCAGUGGCGAAAGCGGCUCUCUGGUCUGUAACUGACGCUGAGGCUCGAAAGCGUGGGGAGCAAACAGGAUUAGAUACCCUGGUAGUCCACGCCGUAAACGAUGAGUGCUAAGUGUUGGAGGGUUUCCGCCCUUCAGUGCUGCAGCUAACGCAUUAAGCACUCCGCCUGGGGAGUACGACCGCAAGGUUGAAACUCAAAGGAAUUGACGGGGGCCCGCACAAGCGGUGGAGCAUGUGGUUUAAUUCGAAGCAACGCGAAGAACCUUACCAGGUCUUGACAUCCUCUGACCACUCUAGCGCCGCCGCUUCCCCUUCGGGGGCAAAGUGACAGGUGGUGCAUGGUUGUCGUCAGCUCGUGUCGUGAGAUGUUGGGUUAAGUCCCGCAACGAGCGCAACCCUUAUUGUUAGUUGCCAUCAUUUAGUUGGGCACUCUAGCAAGACUGCCGGUGACAAACCGGAGGAAGGUGGGGAUGACGUCAAAUCAUCAUGCCCCUUAUGACCUGGGCUACACACGUGCUACAAUGGGAAGUACAACGAGUCGCAAAGUCGCGAGGCUAAGCUAAUCUCUUAAAGCUUCUCUCAGUUCGGAUUGUAGGCUGCAACUCGCCUACAUGAAGCCGGAAUCGCUAGUAAUCGCGGAUCAGCACGCCGCGGUGAAUACGUUCCCGGGCCU
rnacentral:rRNA from 1 species